rnacentral:lncRNA from 10 species
CAAAGCCUUGGCAGCUGUUCUUCAUUUUAAAUCUAGGAACGCCAACUUCACUAAGCGUUAAGAUGUAUUUUCUCCCAUAUUCUCCUUAGUUUAUUUCUACUUUCUUUUCCCAUCUUGAUUAUACUUUCUUCUCUUAAAAAGUGUUUAUUUUCAUCUUCUGCAUCUUAUCCUCCUAUCAUUUUUUAUUUUCUGUAUUUUAAUAUAUUAAUGAGAUAAAAUGCUGGAGACAAUCUGACAUGUGAUGAGAAAACUGAGGCUGAAGGUGAUUAAUUUAGGAGCAAAUUCUCAGAGCUAUUAUUGGCAGUGAUUAAGCUAUGCCUGAAUAUUUGAAUGGGGAAAAGGCAAAGAUGAAG